UUAAGACCAAGUGCCUACAACUUUGCCUUGUUUCUGCGAUGAUAUUAUAUAUACUGAGAUUGCUUUUAUGCUUUUUAUGUGAUAAAUCAAACCUAACAGACUUGGGCAGAACCGAUUCUAAUAGAUCAAGCGUGUGACUUGUAGGAGUCCAUAUUACUCACUCGGACAGGACGGUACUUGAACAGGGCGAUUGUGAAAGGACAUAUGUUCAUCAACCUUCCCAUCUGAUUUCAGAUCAACCAUCCUCUGUGGACCUUGACGAAAAAAGAGAGUUGAUAAAAGCUCGGAGGCGAGCUGCUUAUAGAAAGAAAAAAGAGGAGGCUCUACCGUCAAGCAACAAGAGGAAAAUCUGUCUGCCCUUACGAUAUCAGAUAUGUUGAAUGUGGGUGGGUUACCUCUCGGUGAUAUCACUAAUGUGUGUCAACCAACCACGGUGGACCUUGACGAUAAAAAAGAGCAACUAAAGUCUCGGAGAAGAGCUGCUUAUCGAAAGAAAAAAGAGGAGCAGCCAGCAAGCAAAAAGUUGAAAAACAGCUUGAGGAAGAACACAAGGGUGACUUAACAGACGAGCAAACUGAGCAGAGAAACGCGCGGAGGAUGUUACAUGGUGAUAUGCUAAAUGUGGGUGGGUUACCUCUCGGUGAUAUCACUAAUGUGUGUCAACCAACCACGGUGGACCUUGACGAUA